GGCGGCCACAAAGCGAAAUAAUGUUGAGUAUCGGUGUUUGGUCAUUUGGAACUGGCCACUGUUAUGUCCGGUAAACAUAAGUGCAUGGUUGUGUCAGUUAAAAGGGAAGUAUUAUUGCCCUUAGGUCGGUGAUGUCCGACAAAGUCAAGUGUAUCCAGAUGGCCAAUAUAGGAGGUCAUAAAGAUGAGGUAAGGGUGCGUCAACAGUUAAGUGCCUUUAAGGCCGGGUGCAUCCUGGAGGAGAACCUGUCCUGGUGUCCUGUCCUGGUGUCAUCACGUGGUCAUCUUCACUCUCUCUCAUCUCGUCUUCCAUCAGAGUCGGAGCGCUUUUCGUCAUAGUCUCCCGGGGUAAAUUGCUGUCUUGUUACACUUCAGAGAUAGUGAAU
rnacentral:lncRNA from 1 species